rnacentral:tRNA from 1 species
CUUCUGGAUCGACCGGGCGGAGGGCGUGCUGCGCUUCGGUUCCGGCGCGGGCAUCACCUGGGGUUCGGACCCUGACCGGGAGU